GACGAACGCUGGCGGCGUGCUUAACACAUGCAAGUCGAACGGAAAGGCCCUGCUUGCAGGGUACUCGAGUGGCGAACGGGUGAGUAACACGUGGGUGAUCUGCCCUGCACUUCGGGAUAAGCCUGGGAAACUGGGUCUAAUACCGGAUAGGAGCCAUUUUUAGUGGGAUGGUUGGAAAGUUUUUUCGGUGUAGGAUGAGCUCGCGGCCUAUCAGCUUGUUGGUGGGGUAAUGGCCUACCAAGGCGGCGACGGGUAGCCGGCCUGAGAGGGUGGACGGCCACAUUGGGACUGAGAUACGGCCCCGACUCCUACGGGAGGCAGAAGUGGGGAAUAUUGCACAAUGGGCGCAAGCCUGAUGCAGCGACGCCGCGUGGGGGAUGACGGCCUUCGGGUUGUAAAAUCCUUUCGCUAGGGACGAAGCUUUUUGUGACGGUACCUAGAUAAGAAGCACCGGCUAACUACGUG
rnacentral:rRNA from 1 species